rnacentral:rRNA from 1 species
GGGGAAUAUUGGGCAAUGGGCGCAAGCCUGACCCAGCAACGCCGCGUGAAGGAAGAAGGCCUUCGGGUUGUAAACUUCUUUUGUCGGGGACGAGUAGAAGACGGUACCUGGCGAAUAAGCCACGGCUAACUACGUGCCAGCAGCCGCGGUAAUACGUAGGUGGCAAGCGUUGUCCGGAUUUACUGGGUGUAAAGGGCGUGUAGCCGGGAAGGCAAGUCAGAUGUGAAAUCCACGGGCUUAACUCGUGAACUGCAUUUGAAACUGUUUUUCUUGAGUAUCGGAGAGGCAAUCGGAAUUCCUAGUGUAGCGGUGAAAUGCGUAGAUAUUAGGAGGAACACCAGUGGCGAAGGCGGAUUGCUGGACGACAACUGACGGUGAGGCGCGAAAGCGUGGGGAGCAAAC